rnacentral:rRNA from 1 species
CUAGUAACGGCGAGUGAGCGGGAUGAGCUCAAAUUUAAAAUCUGGCUGCCUCAGGUGGUCCGAGUUGUAGUCUCGAGAAGUGUUUUCCGCGUUGGCCUGUGUACAAGUCCUUUGGAAUAAGGCGUCAUAGAGGGUGAGAAUCCCGUCCUUGACACAGAUCCCCAAUGCUUUGUGAUGCGCUCUCAAAGAGUCGAGUUGUUUGGGAAUGCAGCUCAAAAUGGGUGGUAAAUUCCAUCUAAAGCUAAAUAUUGGCGAGAGACCGAUAGCGAACAAGUACCGUGAGGGAAAGAUGAAAAGCACUUUGGAAAGAGAGUUAAACAGUACGUGAAAUUGUUGAAAGGGAAACGAUUGAAGUCAGUCAUGCUCGUAGGGAUUCAACCGGUUCUGCCGGCCUAUUUCCCUACUUGCAGGCCAGCAUCAGUUUUGACCGGUGGAAAAGGUUGGAGGGAAUGUGGCAUCCUCGGAUGUGUUAUAGCCCUCUUUCGCAUACAUCGGUUGGGACUGAGGAACGCAGCACGCCUUUAUGGUCGGUCUUCGGACACGUACGUGCUUAGGAUGCUGGCAUAAUGGCUUUAAACGACCCGUCUUAAAUC